CAGUCUGCAUCCAUCUAGUACUGCAUCCACCAAGAGUUCUAAAGAACAGAGGAAGAUUCCUGUGCUUGGAGUUGAGUCAUGUGAUUGUUCAGAUUUUUAAAGACAUAUAUUGCGUAGGAGGUUGAGGGACAUGAGGUCCGGCAGUGAGCUUAAAGCUCUGUUGCUA